GGGGAUGACUGGAUUUGACAGCGGGCAGAGGUGGUAGGUAAGCAUGCAGUGCGCUGGUGGCUAGCACUAUAAUCUGGAGACCAAAAAUUUAACUGGCGAGAAUAACUUUGCUCUUGCUGCCUAAUCGAAGCAUAGUAGAUUUUGGCUUAAUCCGGACACGGGUGUCCGGACAAGACUUCUCCCCGAUGCUAUCGUCCCGAAGCGGUCGGAUACGGAGGAGCAGAUAAAUCGGGAAUAGUUCGGGUAGGCCUCGAUGCUCGGAUGAAAUUUUAGAGGAUAAGGCGAUGGUUGGUGGUCCUGGUCUUGCCGUCGCUCGAAAAUCGAAGUCAGGAAUAAGCAUGUAGAAAGCUUAUGAUUUCCCCGUUUGGACCAGGGUUCGAACCCCUGCAUCUCCACA
rnacentral:tmRNA from 1 species